rnacentral:rRNA from 1 species
UACGUAGGUGGCAAGCGUUGUCCGGAUUUAUUGGGUUUAAAGGGUGCGUAGGCGGUCCUCUAAGUCAGUUGUGAAAUACUUCAGCUUAACUGGAGAGGUGCAAUUGAUACUGGAAGACUUGAGUACUGAUGAGGUAGGCGGAAUGGACGGUGUAGCGGUGAAAUGCUUAGAUAUCGUCCAGAACACCGAUAGCGAAGGCAGCUUACUAAGGAGUAACUGACGCUGAGGCACGAAAGUGUGGGGAUCAAACAGG